rnacentral:rRNA from 1 species
AUGAACGCUGGCGGCGUGCCUAAUACAUGCAAGUCGAGCGAACAGACGAGGAGCUUGCUCCUCUGACGUUAGCAGCGGACGGGUGAGUAACACGUGGAUAACCUACCUAUAAGACUGGGAUAACUUCGGGAAACCGGAGCUAAUACCGGAUAAUAUAUUGAACCGCAUGGUUCAAUAGUGAAAGACGGUUUUGCUGUCACUUAUAGAUGGAUCCGCGCCGCAUUAGCUAGUUGGUAAGGUAACGGCUUACCAAGGCGACGAUGCGUAGCCGACCUGAGAGGGUGAUCGGCCACACUGGAACUGAGACACGGUCCAGACUCCUACGGGAGGCAGCAGUAGGGAAUCUUCCGCAAUGGGCGAAAGCCUGACGGAGCAACGCCGCGUGAGUGAUGAAGGUCUUCGGAUCGUAAAACUCUGUUAUUAGGGAAGAACAAAUGUGUAAGUAACUAUGCACGUCUUGACGGUACCUAAUCAGAAAGCCACGGCUAACUACGUG